rnacentral:rRNA from 1 species
UGGGGAAUAUUGCACAAUGGAGGGAACUCUGAUGCAGCGACGCCGCGUGAACGAAGAAGGCUUUCGAGUCGUAAAGUUCUUUUAUAUGGGAAGAUAAUGACGGUACCAUAAGAAAAAGCCCCGGCUAACUACGUGCCAGCAGCCGCGGUAAUACGUAGGGGGCUAGCGUUGUCCGGAAUCACUGGGCGUAAAGGGUUCGCAGGCGGAAAUGCAAGUCAGGUGUAAAAGGCAGUAGCUUAACUACUGUAAGCAUUUGAAACUGCAUAUCUUGAGAAGAGUAUAGGUAAGUGGAAUUUUUAGUGUAGCGGUGAAAUGCGUAGAUAUUAAAAAGAAUACAGGUGGCGAAGGCGGCUGACUGGGCUCAUUCUGACGCUGAGGAACGAAAGCGUGGGUAGCAAACAGGA